GUGCUCAUUUUGGUAGCUCACAUGCUAAAACUGUAACAAUACUGAGAUUAGCCUAACCCCUGCCCAAAGAUGACAUGCAAACUCAUGAAGCAUUCCCUAUUUUU